AUGGCUGGAAGGGCGGUCAAUAUUAAUAGUGGUAACUUGGCUAGGGUUUGGCAUGACCCAUGGAUAGAUGCUGCACCCCUACGCGAAACAUUCCCUAUCCUGUUCAGUAUAUGUCAGGAUCAGGAUGGAACUAUUGCAGAUUUUGUGGCAAAAAACUAUAGCCUGGGUUUCAGGCGCAGGCUGUUUGGGGAGAUCAAUGAUCAAUGGGAAUGGGUGGUUUCUGAGGCAAGAAAGUAUGCUUUGAACAAUAUCCCUGAUACUUUGUUUUGGAAGUUUUGCAAGAACAAGAGACUUACCACUAAAUCAGUGUAUGAAUGGUUGGAAAGGAAUUUAGCUGGUCCUAACUAUAAGUGGAUCUGGAAAGCUAGUAUCCCAUUGAAAAUCAAAAUAUUUUUGUGGCAGCUGUUCCAAAAUGUUGUGCUUACCCGAGAUAAUUUGCGGAAGAGGAAUUGGCCCGGGAAUCAUGUUUGCUCUUUUUGCACGAACAUGGAAACUGCAAACCAUCUAUUCUUUACAUGUCCUCUUGCUCGAACAGUCUGGGGGACCCUAGGGCUUACGGCUGGAGCAUCCUGUUGGCCAUGA
rnacentral:rRNA from 1 species